UCAAGUGCCACAAUAUAAUCCAAGGCAGCAAGGCGAUUCUGAUAUGGCUUGAAUGGUUCUAACUCUUCUGCAGUUGCUAAACUAGAAUGAGAAAAAACAUUUGGGAACUCUGCUUGGAAGGCUGCCAAGCUAUUGCUACCAUAUGCUACCAUAUAUUUUUCCAGCAACUAUGUAGAUAGUCGUAGAGGAAGGGUAUCCCAUGGCCUUGAGAAACAGAGCUGCUUCUCUUGGGGACAUUGGACAUCCCCCUUGAAGUCGCCUUUCUCUGCUAUCUAUCUCCUUCUCCUUCCAAUGCCGGACUUUGUACCUCAUAUCCCUGAGUUCCCCAGCCUCUUCUGCUGUAAGAUUGUGAUUACAGCCAGUGAAUGAAAGCAUGUCUUUCUCAUAUCUUAAAUGAAGAGCAACAUAUGGCUCACUAUUAUUCCUUAGUCUAUCAACCAAUAUCUUGCCAAGAUCCCCAAUCUCCUUUGAGUACUGGAGAGACUCAUAAUUGACACGGCACCUUAGCCUCUGAAUGGAGGCUGCAAGGCCAUUGUUAGCUAGUC
rnacentral:misc_RNA from 1 species